AGCCCUGAUUUAGGGUUUCAAGUAAAAUCUGAUUCUAUUUCUACUGAUUCUGUCUCAAAUAAUGAAAAGAUUGAAUUAAAGGAUAAUAUACUUGCUGAUAAUGUCAAAUUAGACCUAGAUGUUGUAAAGCCAGAGAUGGUGGAACCAUCAUCCAGCAAUGUUGUCCCAUUUAGUGGUGAAUCACAUCCAAUGGAUGUUGAAGAUCCACCUGAGAACAAGGCACCUGUUGAUGAGAGAGAUGACAAGAAUGUUACAAAUGUAGACAUCAGUAAUAAAAAUGACAGUGCUGAGAUGGCGUACUCAGAAAAAUUAAAUUUGGAUAGAAGUUCUGGUGAUGACUCUAUGGAGGAGGAUGUGCUUGAGAAUAAACAAAUUGAUUCAAAAUGUAGUACUGAUGAAAUGGGAGAUAAGAGUGAGAAGAAUAGAGCACCUAUUGUCAAGGAGAAAAGUCCUGUUGGUGUUUUUAGAGAUGAUUUAUCUAUAGAUAAAAAGGACACCUUGGUUGAGAAUAAGAGCCGGUCUUUUGUUCCUGCUGAGAAAAGAAAGCUUCAUGGUAAGUGAAAAUGGCCUGUAAUUGUUACUGUCUUUCUUUGCAUGUGUGCAUACUUUUACCUUACUGAUAACAUUCUGAAGCUAAGGUGAUUGGAUAGUAGUGCAUGUACUUAACGGUAAUUCUUAAGACAAAUAAUUUAAAUUGGUUUUUUGAAACUUGAUCUGCUUCAGUUGCACUUGUGGAAUGUGAUAAUAUUGUUUUAAAUUCUUGUGUAUUUGAUAGUGUAUUCACUAUUUUUCCAUGGAUGGUGCAUGAUUUGGAAGAGCUUUACUUUAGAGUGCUGCAGCUUUGGUUUUGAAGAUGAUGUAUAUAGUUUUCGGCUAGAAAUUGCUUUGGUGUUCAUUUUUAAUCCUUUUAUUGGUUCCUGUGACUACCUGGAGCCUUAGACAACAAAAUUAUUGGUAUUUUUAAUAUUGAGCUUUCUCUGUUACCAAGGGAAUACAUUUUAGAAUUUUGAUCAGUCGUGAGAAUGAAAUUAAUAGUUCCCUUGUGGGUGAAUGGUGAUUCUCACCUGACGAGCUGUCUAUACAGAUCAGGAACCUGUUGGGAAUAAUGAGCUUUCUAAACGGCGCAAAUGGAAUUCUGACAAUAUAAAAGUUCCAGAACAUCAAGGCAAUCUUGCGCCCACCACAACACCUAAAGACACCCCUCAGCCUGCUGCUUUGAGACGUAACUUCUCUAGAUCAGACUCAACGGCAAGUGAAGGUACACCAAAGGAACGAGUUGGUGAGUUGUCAUCUCUCAGUCAGCUGAUACGAAUUGAAUUCUACUGAUUGUUGUUUUAACAUCUGAAUGGUUUACGUUUCAUCUUAUUUGGCAGUUCCCCCUUCACAAAAUGCUCCAACCAAUUCCCUCAGAAUUGAUCAUUUUCUUCGCCCUUUUACCUUGAAAGCUGUACAAGAACUUCUAGGGAAAACUGGGACUGUAACAAGCUUCUGGAUGGACCAUAUUAAGACCCAUUGCUAUGCUACAGUAAGACUUAUUGCUUUGUUUCCAUCUCCUCCGAUGGGACUUUCGUGGUCUAUGAUCAAUUAUUCAUUUUGGCUUUUUAUUGUUGGGCUGAUUCAAUAUAUCUAAUCAGCUUUGGGAAUUGCUUUAUUGGUGCAGUAUUCAUCUGUAGAAGAAGCAAUAGAGACAAGAAAUGCUGUUUACAACCUUCAAUGGCCACCUAAUGGUGGACGCCUAUUGGUGGCUGACUUUGUUGAUCCCCAGGAAGUUAAAACCCGGCUUGAUGCUCCACCACAGACUCCAACUACUCCUGGGACUUCUGGUUCUACUGCUCCUCAAGCUCAACCUGCUUCUCAGCCCCAGCCCUCUCCACGUCAGCAGGUUUCUAGACAGCAGCAUCCACCACCUUCUGCACUUCCUCCACCGCCUUUGUCUAACCCUCCACCAGUUAGAGAACGGCUCCCUCUUCCUCUGCCACCGGCAGAGAAAGUAGAUCCUCCUAUUGUCACUCUGGAUGAUCUAUUUUGGAAAACCAAAGCAAUUCCUCGUAUCUACUAUUUGCCUUUGUCAGAUGAACAAGUUGCAGCAAAGCAAGCAGCACAUGGCAGAAACAUCUAGCAGUAGAGCUGAGGCUAUAGUUUUAUCCCUGGCUGCUCUUCUGGUUUUCAUAUCGGUUGGUCUGUACGUUAGUUAAUGGUAAGAGAACUGUCACAUAAUUGCAUGUUUGCAGGUCUGCAGGUUUUGCUUUAUAGGAAGGAAUUGUUGCAGCCGUGCAGAGGGAACUUGUCCAGUGAUGGGUAUUGGUUUUUCUGCCGGCUACUUGUGGGCUUGAGUUCAAGUUCCAUUUAGCACUAAAAUCCUUCAAAACUGAGAUCUCUCUGUAGUAAUGGAUCGAUUAUCCUUUGUUCUAAUUUGGUUUUCCUACAGAACAAUAGCCUCAACUCUUAUGAACCUGAUUUUGUAGAAUUUAACUUUUACUCUGGAUGUUAAUUUUACAUAGAUUUGUUAAAAGGGAAUGUAGGCUUACUCGUUAUAAGUAUGUGUAGUUUCAUCCAGGGUUUUUAUCAUUUAUUUAUGUAUGUGCAACGUACUUUGAACCUGAUGAUUGAGGUUCUUCUCUUCAUCUCAUACCUUGGAUUGAGCUUCGUAUGAGAUUAGAUUUUAUUUUAAGGCAAAAACCUAAAACUAUUAGAUGAAGAUUUUUAAAGUAUUAACAGUUCACAAUGUUAGUGUUUAUAAUUGAUAAAUACAUUUAUGAAAAAAUAAAUUAUUAAAAUUUCACAAAUUAUAAAAAUAUUUAAUAUGGAUGUAAUUAUAUUUAUAAUUAUAAUGGUAAAUUUUGUCCCACUUUAAAGUUUUUGCACAAAUAAGAGUCAUAUUAAAUGGGCUAAAUUUGAUUAAUAUGCUGGGCUUUUUUAAAUUUAGACUUUAGGUCAGUUUUAAAAUUAAUUAGGGAAAUAGGCUAUUUUUAGGAGGGAGAAAGUGAAAGUGUGUUUAGCUGGACGGUAAAAUACAAUGGCUUUUUGAUCAUUGUUGCGUCAAACGGUAAAAAGAAAUUGUCAAAAAAAAAAUUUAAAAUCUCCCAACAAUAAUUUUUUUUAACUUAUAAAUACCUCCCAAUUUUUAUUGUUUUCAUUCACAUUCUUCUCUCAAUUCUCUCAAGCUUCUUAUUCAAUAUUUAUUUAUAUUUUCAUUUAAAAUAUUAUUUUUUAAUUAUAUUAAAUUUUAUUCAUUCGGGUCAAUUUCUUGAAAAUAGACGCCUCUCUAAUUUGUUUCGACGACGACCAUAUUUUUACUGCCCAAUUAGUAAUGGUAAGACGAAAUUUAAAAUUUUAUUUUUUUAAUUAUGUUAAUAUUUUUUUUAUAAGUCUAAAUAUUUUUUUUAUGUUAUAAAUAGACGGGGAGCCUCCGAUCCCUGAAAUUUAUGGGUACCGGUAAGAGGUCCGAUUCUUGCAUGCAUCUCUCAUGCAAGGGGCCUACUAUCUGUGCAGAAAAUACACCCGGUUGGACAAGUUUUCACUUUCUCUUUCCUAAAAACGAUAUAUUUUCUUAAUUAAUUUUAAAUUGAUCUAAAGGUCAAAUUGAAAAAAAAACCUGGGCAUAUUAAUCAAAUUUAGCCUAUUAAAUGUCAUUUUAAAUAUUUUACAUAUAUUUUAAAUAUUGAUAAUGUUGUUUUAAAAGAAAUUGAGUUAUUACUUUUUUUUUUUUAAUUAUACAUAAAAUUUAAAGUAUUUACCAAAAAAGUAGAUCCAUUUUAUAAUUUUGAAAUCCUUUAUGCCACCUCAAUUAUGAUGAAAAAACGAUCAAGAAGGGCAAUUUAGGCAUUUGAAUAAAACCAAAAUGGGUUUUUCUAGAACAAUUGGUCUCUGCCUUUUUGGAUUCGAUAAUACGACAGAGGCAAAUGGUUUUUUUAAAACCCUAAUUUCACCAUUGUUUCAAUUUUCUCCCCAUUUUCUCUCUCAAAAUCCUAAAAAGAAAAGAACAACCAGGUUAUAUUAUAUUCACAACAGCCAAAAAAUAAAAAUCAAUUGCUCAUCCACCACUCUCAUAAAAUUCAUUUUCUAUUUUCCAUUUACUUUUUUUUUAUUUUGUUUUUUCUUCUAAUUUUUCCUUAUUUUCGAUAACUUUCUCUUUGUUGAAAACUAGGGUUUGCGCUAAUGGUGGGUUUUGUCUGUUGAAAUUAGGGUAGUUUUGGGAUAAAUUUUCAAUUCUCCUGUAAGGGAAGUGUGGUUGUAGUGGCUUCCCAAAUAUAUAGGCCUGUGAGUAAUCUCUAUUUCUUUCCUCUCUGCAUGCAUUUUUAAUGGGUGUUAUUGCAAUUUUUUUUUAUAAAUACGAUUAGUUUUGGGUGCGAUUGUUUCAGUUCAUUAGUUUCUUGUUAAAUCGGCAUUUCGUUUCUUGCUGGUUAUGAAUUUAUUUUUCAUUACGGAAGCUAGGAUAAAGAAAAUUUUGGGCUGGAAAUGUAUUUACUGUUUUUUAUGCCUUAUUUUGUUCGUAUUUGUGCUUUUUGGGAGAAAGGGGAGCUUUCUUGUAUAUAUUCUUUGUCCAGGCAAAUAAGGUGUUUUUUUUAAACCCUCGUUUUGUGGUGUCAGGUUUUGUGUUAACUAAAUACUUCAUUGCUUUCCUUUUCUAUAUUUUACAUGAAGAUUUGCUAUUCUUCUGGGUUAAUUUCCUGGAAUUAUUUUAUUGGCUUUGCUGCAUUUAUUCAAAUUGUUUAAACAGCUAUAUAUCAUUCCUUCGGCUCCUUUAUUUCUUCUACCUUAUAAGCACGAUUUAACUUUAUUUUGCAGUAUAACAUGCUUUCUUUGGUCUUGUUGGCGCUUUAUUUCUACUGCACAUGUUUUACUAGAAUCUUUUUUGUUUGGCUUUUUUGGUGAAUGACUGAGAAAUGUGACCUUUUCUAGUAGGUUUGAAGGUGAGUUUGGGUUGGAAAAGAUGUCAUCAAAAUAUCAAAUACUUGACAAUAGACCAAUUGAUCAAUGGAAGGUUACAGAGUUGAAAGAAGAACUUAAGAGGCGGAAACUGACAACUCGGGGCUUGAAAGAGGAGUUGGUAAGACGUUUGGAUGAGGCCGUUAGAUUGGAAAGGGAAAAUGGUGAAACUGAGGAAGAUAAUGGUUUUAAUUCUGAUCCCCAGCCUACAGAUGAGCGAGGGAUUGAAAAGGCAAUUCCAGUUAUUGUUGAGACAGUUAAAGAUGAUGUGGAUCAUAGUGGCCGUGAGAUCGAGAAGGAGAGUGGGGUGAAGGUUCAUGUUGACAUUAAUGAGAGUGCAGCUGCUUUGGGUCAUGAAGGAGUUCAAGGAAGCGACAGCUUGGUGGAAAAGGAGCUUGUUUCUGAAACCACCACUAUUCAGACUGAGAUAACGGUUACCAAGAAUGUGGUAUCUGAGGUACCAUCUACUGAGAAAGAGAGCUCAGGGCAAAAUGAGAAUGUGAAUACUGAUAUCAAAGUGGAGGGUAAGGAUCCUAAGCUCCAGUUCGAGACUGAUGAUCCAAAGCCUGAGGUGGAGAAUGAUGAUCCAAAGGGCAAACUGCAGGGUUCAAAUCCUCAGCUGGAGAGUGAUGAUUCAAAGCCUCAGCUUGACAUUGAAGAUUCGAAGGUGCAGCUGGAGAACGGGGGUUUGAAGGUUCCACACGAGGAUGAUGUGCAUGAUUCUUCUGCUCCGAACAUCCAGGUAUCUGAGGUCAGCCCUGAUUUAGGGUUGCAAGUAAAAUCUGAUUCUAUAUCUACUGAUUCUGUCUCAAAUAAUGAAAAGAUUGAAUUAAAGGAUAAUAUACUUGCUGAUAAUGUCAAAUUAGACUUAGAUGUUGUAAAGCCAGAGAUGGUGGAACCAUCAUCCAGUAAUGUUGUCCCAAUUAGUGGUGAAUCACAUCCAAUGGAUGUUGAAGAUCCACCUGAGAACAAGGCACCUGUUGAUGAGAGAGAUGGCAAGAAUGUCACAAAUGUAGACUUGGGUAAUAAAAAUGACAGUGCUGAGACGACCUACUCGGAAAAAUUAAAUUUGGAUAGAAGUUCUGGUGAUGACUCUAUGGAGGAGGAUAUGCUUGAGAGUAAACAAAUUGAUUCAAAAUGUAGUACUGAUGAAAUGGGAGAUAAGAGUGAGAAUAAUGGAG
rnacentral:lncRNA from 1 species